rnacentral:rRNA from 1 species
AUUGAACGCUGGCGGCAGGCCUAACACAUGCAAGUCGAAUGGUAACAGGAAACAGCUUGCUGUUUCGCUGACGAGUGGCGGACGGGUGAGUCAUGUCUGGGAAACUGCCUGAUGGAGGGGGAUAACUACUGGAAACGGUAGCUAAUACCGCAUAACGUCGCAAGACCAAAGAGGGGGACCUUCGGGCCUCUUGCCAUCAGAUGUGCCCAGAUGGGAUUAGCUAGUAGGUGGGGUAACGGCUCACCUAGGCGACGAUCCCUAGCUGGUCUGAGAGGAUGACCAGCCACACUGGAACUGAGACACGGUCCAGACUCCUACGGGAGGCAGCAGUGGGGAAUAUUGCACAAUGGGCGCAAGCCUGAUGCAGCCAUGCCGCGUGUAUGAAGAAGGCCUUCGGGUUGUAAAGUACUUUCAGCGGGGAGGAAGGGAGUAAAGUUAAUACCUUGGCUCAUUGACGUUACCCGCAGAAGAAGCACCGGCUAACUCCGUG